GUGAAUCAUCAAAUUUUUGAACGCAAAUUGCACUCUCUGGAAUUCCGGAGAUUAUGCCUUUUUGAGGGUCAGUUUAAAUAAAAAUCGGGGUGUUUCUUUUUUUUGACCCUUCGGAAUUGGGUUAGCUUUAACCUUUUAAAAGGUUUAAUUAACCAAAAAUUGAUCCCUGUUGCAUCUCGAACGUACA
rnacentral:misc_RNA from 1 species